GUCUACAGUCAUGCCACCAUGAAUGUGCCUGAUGUCAUCUGAUCUCAGAAACUAAGCAGGGUCAGGCCUGGUUAGUCCUUGGAUGGGAGACCACCUUGGACUAAUGCAUGCUGUAGGCA
rnacentral:rRNA from 1 species